rnacentral:rRNA from 1 species
AACGAACGCUGGCGGCAUGCCUAACACAUGCAAGUCGAACGAGACCUUCGGGUCUAGUGGCGCCCGGGUGCGUAACGCGUGGGAACCUGCCCUUAGGUUCGGAAUAACUCCCCGAAAGGGGUGCUAAUACCGGAUAAUGUCUUCGGACCAAAGAUUUAUCGCCUUUGGAUGGGCCCGCGUUGGAUUAGCUAGUUGGUAGGGUAAAAGCCUACCAAGGCGACGAUCCAUAGCUGGUCUGAGAGGAUGAUCAGCCACACUGGGACUGAGACACGGCCCAGACUCCUACGGGAGGCAGCAGUGGGGAAUAUUGGACAAUGGGCGAAAGCCUGAUCCAGCAAGGCCGCGUGAGUGAUGAAGGCCUUAGGGUUGUAAAGCUCUUUUACCCGGGAUGAUAAUGACAGUACCGGGAGAAUAAGCUCCGGCUAACUCCGUG